rnacentral:rRNA from 1 species
AUUGAACGCUGGCGGCAGGCUUAACACAUGCAAGUCGAGCGGGGUGAUGGUGCUUGCACUAUCACUUAGCGGCGGACGGGUGAGUAAUGCUUAGGAAUCUGCCUAUUAGUGGGGGACAACAUCUCAAAAGGGAUGCUAAUACCGCAUACGUCCUACGGGAGAAAGCAGGGGAUCACUUGUGACCUUGCGCUAAUAGAUGAGCCUAAGUCGGAUUAGCUAGUUGGUGGGGUAAAGGCCUACCAAGGCGACGAUCUGUAGCGGGUCUGAGAGGAUGAUCCGCCAAACUGGGACUGAGACACGGCCCAGACUCGUACGGGAGGCAGCAGUGGGGAAUUUUGGACAAUGGGCGCAAGCCUGAUCCAGCAAUGCCGCGUGCAGGAUGAAGGCCUUCGGGUUGUAAACUGCUUUUGUACGGAACGAAAAGCCCCGGGUUAAUACCCUGGGGUCAUGACGGUACCGUAAGAAUAAGCACCGGCUAACUACGUGCCAGCCGCCGCAGUAA